UGGGCCUUAGCUUAAUGGAAAGCGUUUGGCUGUUAACCAUUUGAUGUAUGAAGUAUUACAGGCCUGU
rnacentral:tRNA from 1 species